rnacentral:lncRNA from 1 species
AUGUUUUUCCAAAUAAUUUUAUUGUUUCUGUACCCAUUUUCCAAAAAUCUGAUAAAGUCGGCUCGAACUCAGGACUCCACGAACAAAUCUAAUAGUAUCGGAGAUAUUUCGGACUUCAAGGAAUUCCUAACGCAAAACCAGCGGUUGUACGUGGACAAAACUUCGUUUUUGAAAAACUUCAUGCAACAUAAUCACGAAGAUGAUGCUUAUAAUGUUACGGUAGUUAUUAAGCCUCCAGGAUUCGGCAAAACCAUGCUCUUGUCGACAGUCGACUAUUUCUUGAAUUUGAAAAAUAACGCCUCGGAAGAUAGCUCGAUUGCUGGGUUGGAUAUUAUGUCCACCGACAUCGAAGCGGAAGCUUUUAGAAGCACCCAUAUGAACAGGUACCCAGUGGUGAAGAUCAGUUUCGCUUCGGUAAACGCUUCCGACUUCUCGGGGGCCGUGCGAAAAAUCUCCCAUCUUAUGAGUGACGUCAUCCAGGACUUCUCGUACCUACUGGGAGAAGAGCAAAGACUCGCAUUCGGUCCCCUCUUAAAGGGAACGGGCGCCACAAAAUCGUCAGCGCAAGAAAUCGCUUAUUCCCUCCGUCUCCUGUGCUCCUAUAUACAACGACACCAUCAAAUAGCCCCUAUUAUCCUGAUAGAUGACUACGACGCACCACUGUAUUUCAACUACGCGAGCGAUUUUUACCGCGAGAUGUUCAUGUUCAUGGGGUUGUUCCUGCACGGAACUCUGCAGCAUGAAUCGCAAAUGAGUAAGGCCCUAGUGACGGGGGUGACCAUGGUCGAUUUUUCUAAACGCUAUCAGUACAAGGUGCCUUUUACGGGUAGAUACACGGGGGAUGAUUUCGGCUUUACGAAAGGAGAGGUGGUUACUUUGCUUCAUAGGAAUGGGAAAAACGCUGGCGCUUACAACGUUUUAGAAGAGAACUUCGGUGGUUAUACUUUCAACGAUAGGUUAGUAGUGUCUAUAGAUUAAUUUGUCUACAAAAUUUAAACAUCCUAACACCUGCGGGCUGGUUAUUACAAAUGAUAGACAAAACGAUAGACAUAACGGACAGAAGGAAAAUCGGGGGAUCGUAUGGUUGCGAUGGACAAAGAGAGUAGGUAAUUGACUAACUAACGGCAACUGACAAGAAACCUUACAGGAAGUCCAUCAUUUCCUCCUUAGUCUAUAAAAACCACUCAUUUCAACCCAUAGGAUCUCUCCUUACUUCCUAUCCUAUAUCUUCUUCAUCUAUAGCUUUUUCUAUCAAUAUUAAUAAUCAGCCCGCUGGUAACAAUAGUAUGUGUAAAAUCCCAAACCCGAUUGAGAAUUUGAAUAACGAUCUUCAAAUGGAAAAAUUUAAUGACGUUCACACUUUCUCUGAGCCUCUGUAUUUAUUUUUUUGCUUUAAAACUUGGCUGAAUAUUCAUGAAAGGAUGAUUACCCUUCUAAUGAUUACACAAAAACGCACACAGUUUCCUCUAAUAUUGAUUAAGCAGAAAAUUUUCUUCUGUGCACAGAACAUAUCCCUCUCGUUUAAAAAUGUGCAAUAUUCU